UUUACCUACGGGACGCAGCAGUGGGGAAUAUUGCACAAUGGGGGAAACCCUGAUGCAGCAACGCCGCGUGAGUGAAGAAGGUUUUCGGAUUGUAAAGCUCUGUUAGCAGGGAAGAGGAAGGACGGUACCUGCAGAGGAAGCCACGGCUAACUACGUGCCAGCAGCCGCGGUAAUACGUAGGGAGCGAGCGUUGUCCGGAUUUACUGGGUGUAAAGGGUGCGCAGGCGGCUCUGCAAGUCAGGCGUGAAAGCUAGGGGCUCAACCCCUAAACUGCGCUUGAAACUGUGGAGCUUGAGUGAAGUAGA
rnacentral:rRNA from 1 species